rnacentral:rRNA from 1 species
UACGUAGGUGGCAAGCGUUGUCCGGAAUUAUUGGGCGUAAAGCGCAUGUAGGCGGUGCCUUAAGUCUGUCGUGAAACUGCGGGGCCUAACCCCGUAUGGCGAUGGAAACUGUGGCACUUGAGUGCAGGAGAGGAAAGGGGAACUCCCAGUGUAGCGGUGAAAUGGGUAGAUAUUGGGAAGAACACCGGUGGCGAAGGCGCCUUUCUGGACUGUGUCUGACGCUGAGAUGCGAAAGCCAGGGUAGCGAACGGGAUUAGAUACCCCGGUAGUCCUGGCCGUAAACGAUGGGUACUAGGUGUGGGAGGUAUCGACCCCUUCCGUGCCGGAGUUAACGCAAUAAGUACCCCGCCUGGGGAGUACGGCCGCAAGGCUUAAACUCAAAUGAAUUGACGGGG